UACGUUCCCGGACCUUGCACACACCGCUCGUCAAGCCAUGGAAGCUGGGUGUACCUAAAGUCGGUAACCGCAAGGAGCUGCCUAGGGUAAAACUAGUAACUGGGCU
rnacentral:rRNA from 1 species